rnacentral:snoRNA from 1 species
UCCUUUGUUAUGAUGAAAAAUUGGAUGUUAAAUUAUAUUUCUCUGAAAGCGUAUAAUAUUGUGGAGAUUUCCGUUGCCUUCCUUCUGAUACAAAAU